UAGUAGGGGGACAACAUCUCGAAAGGGAUGCUAAUACCGCAUACGUCCUACGGGAGAAAGCAGGGGAUCUUCGGACCUUGCGCUAAUAGAUGAGCCUCAGUCGGAUUAGCUAGUUGGUGGGGUAAAGGCCUACCAAGGCGACGAUCUGUAGCGGGUCUGAGAGGAUGAUCCGCCACACUGGGACUGAGACACGGCCCAGACUCCUACGGGAGGCAGCAGUGGGGAAUAUUGGACAAUGGGGGGAACCCUGAUCCAGCCAUGCCGCGUGUGUGAAGAAGGCCUUAUGGUUGUAAAGCACUUUAAGCGAGGAGGAGGCUACUUUAGUUAAUACCUAGAGAUAGUGGACGUUACUCGCAGAAUAAGCACCGGCUAACUCUGUGCCAGCAGCCGCGGUAAUACAGAGGGUGCAAGCGUUAAUCGGAUUUACUGGGCGUAAAGCGCGCGUAGGCGGCUAAUUAAGUCAAAUGUGAAAUCCCCGAGCUUAACUUGGGAAUUGCAUUCGAUACUGGUUAGCUAGAGUGUGGGAGAGGAUGGUAGAAUUCCAGGUGUAGCGGUGAAAUGCGUAGAGAUCUGGAGGAAUACCGAUGGCGAAGGCAGCCAUCUGGCCUAACACUGACGCUGAGGUGCGAAAGCAUGGGGAGCAAACAGGAUUAGAUACCCUGGUAGUCCAUGCCGUAAACGAUGUCUACUAGCCGUUGGGGCCUUUGAGGCUUUAGUGGCGCAGCUAACGCGAUAA
rnacentral:rRNA from 1 species